rnacentral:rRNA from 1 species
UACGUAGGGUGCGAGCGUUGUCCGGAAUUAUUGGGCGUAAAGGGCUCGUAGGCGGUUUGUCGCGUCGGGAGUGAAAUCCACUGGCUUAACUGGUGGCUUGCUUUCGAUACGGGCAGACUGGAGGUAUGCAGGGGAGAACGGAAUUCCUGGUGUAGCGGUGAAAUGCGCAGAUAUCAGGAGGAACACCGGUGGCGAAGGCGGAUCUCUGGGCCGAUACUGACGCUGAGGAGCGAAAGCGUGGGGGAGCGAACAGG